rnacentral:tRNA from 1 species
GAAAAUCCGUCGACUUUUUAAAUCAUGAGGGUUCAAGUCCCUCUAUCCCCAAAAAAGACCACUUGACCCCCAAAUUUUUCUCUUAUUUAUACCUUUUCGUU